rnacentral:tRNA from 1 species
GAGGGUGUAGCUCAGUGGUAGAGCGCAUGCUUAGUAUGCACGAGGUUCUUGGUUCAAUCCCCUGUACCUCCA